rnacentral:rRNA from 1 species
GUGAGGAAUAUUGGUCAAUGGGCGAGAGCCUGAACCAGCCAAGUCGCGUGAAGGAAGAAGGAUCUAUGGUUCGUAAACUUCUUUUGCAGGGGAAUAAAGUGCGGGACGUGUCCUGUUUUGUAUGUACACUGAGAAUAAGGAUCGGCUAACUACGUGCCAGCAGCCGCGGUAAUACGGAGGAUCCGAGCGUUAUCCGGAUUUAUUGGGUUUAAAGGGUGCGUAGGUGGUUUGAUAAGUCAGCGGGGAAAGUUUGCAGCUUAACUGUAAAAAUGCCGUUGAAACUGUCGGACUUGAGUGUAAAUGAGGUAGGCGGAAUGCGUGGUGUAGCGGUGAAAUGCAUAGAUAUCACGCAGAACUCCGAUUGCGAAGGCAGCUUACUAAGCUACAACUGACACUGAAGCACGAAAGCGUGGGGAUCAAACAGGAUUAGAUACCCUGGUAGUCC